rnacentral:other from 1 species
UAAAUCCUGAAGUGUGCGUCGAGGUAUUAUAAUUCAACCUACGUUAUGACAUUGGGAGCCUGGGUUUUCUCAGCGGCUGUCAUGCCUCCUAAGUGUGGAAGACAAAAGUGGAAACAGGGCACCCCCCUAUUUUAGGAUAGGGUGUGAAUUAUAUCCUCGACGGCAUAUCGGGAUUAUU